CAUGCGUGUGUGUCUGUCAGAUUUGGACUAAAAGGUGGUGUGAAGGUGUGAUGUGUUUGAAUGUUCAUGGUGUUUAAGCUGUCACCAAGGUGUUACAGUAGUCGAGGUGUGAGAUGGCGUCUGUGUCAGGAGUCCUGCUGCAUG